rnacentral:rRNA from 1 species
UCAGGUACGGUUCAUCAAGCAACGAUGCUAGCGACUGAACGGUAUCGGCACACCUUGGACCUGAGAAACCGCCAGACCCUACCGGAAGUCAGCAGUAGUAUCUCGCCAUUGAACGGAAGGUCGACCGAGCACGCGCCGUGAGUGAUGAGGCUUUCGGGUCGUAAACUCUGUUGUUAGGGAGACAGUGCUAGUUGAAUAGCUGGCACCUGACGUACCUAGCAGAAAGCCCGGCUACUACGUGCAGCAGCCGCGGUAAUACGUAGGUGGCAAGCGUUAUCCGGAAUUAUUGGGCGUAAAGCGCGCGCAGGUGGUUUCUUAAGUCUGAUGUGAAAGCCCACGGCUCAACCGUGGAGGGUCAUUGGAAACUGGGAGACUUGAGUGCAGAAGAGGAAAGUGGAAUUCCAUGUGUAGCGGUGAAAUGCGUAGAGAUAUGGAGGAACACCCAGUGGCGAAGGCGACUUUCUGGUCUGUAACUGACACUGAGGCGCGAAAGCGUGGGGAGCAAACAGGAUUAGAUACCCUGGUAGUCCACGCCGUAAACGAUGAGUGCUAAGUGUUAGAGGGUUUCCGCCCUUUAGUGCUGAAGUUAACGCAUUAAGCACUCCGCCUGGGGAGUACGGCCGCAAGGCUGAAACUCAAAGGAAUUGACGGGGGCCCGCACAAGCGGUGGAGCAUGUGGUUUAAUUUGAAGCAACGCGAAGAACCUUACCAGGUCUUGACAUCCUUUGACAACCCUAGAGAUAGGGCUUUUCCUUCGGGAGCAGAGUGACAGGUGGUGCAUGGUUGUCGUCAGCUCGUGUCGUGAGAUGUUGGGUUAAGUCCCGCAACGAGCGCAACCCUUGAUUUUAGUUGCCAUCAUUUAGUUGGGCCCUUUAAGGUGACUGCCGGUGACAAACCGGAGGAAGGUGGGGAUGACGUCAAAUCAUCAUGCCCCUUAUGACCUGGGCUACACACGUGCUACAAUGGACGGUACAAAGAGCUGCAAGACCGCGAGGUGGAGCUAAUCUCAUAAAACCGUUUUCAGUUCGGAUUGUAGGCUGCAACUCGCCUACAUGAAGCUGGAAUCGCUAGUAAUCGCGGAUCAGCAUGCCGCGGUGAAUACGUUCCCGGGCCUUGUACACCCCGCCCGUCACCCCCCGAGAGUUUGUAACACCCGAAGUCGGUGGGGUAACCUUUUGGAGCCAGCCGCUAAGUGAACAAGC